UACGGAGGGUGCAAGCGUUAAUCGGAAUUAUUGGGCGUAAAGCGUGCGUAGGUGGUUCGUUAAGUCCGUUGUGAAAGCCCCGAGCUCAACUUGGGAAUUGCAGUGGAUACUGGCGAGCUGGAGUGCGGUAGAGGAAGGUGGAAUUCCCGGUGUAGCGGUGAAAUGCGUAGAGAUCGGGAGGAACACCAGUGGCGAAGGCGGCCUUCUGGACCAGCACUGACACUCAAGCACGAAAGCGUGGGGAGCAAACAGG
rnacentral:rRNA from 1 species